CACGUAGGGGGCGAGCGUUGUUCGGAAUUACUGGGCGUAAAGGGCUCGUAGGUGGCCAACUAAGUCAGACGUGAAAUCCCUCGGCUUAACCGGGGAACUGCGUCUGAUACUGGAUGGCUUGAGUUUGGGAGAGGGAUGCGGAAUUCCAGGUGUAGCGGUGAAAUGCGUAGAUAUUGGGAGGAACACCAGUGGCGAAGGCGGCUCACUGGACCGGUUCUGACGCUGAUGCGCGAAAGCGUGGGGAGCAAACGGG
rnacentral:rRNA from 1 species